CUUGAACGAGCCGAGCCAGAGCGGCCGUUCGGCCGGACGGCCCUGUCCGUAGGUGGCCAGCAGGGCCUGCGCCUC
rnacentral:antisense_RNA from 1 species